rnacentral:misc_RNA from 1 species
GUAUUGAUUGCGUGUUAUCGCAAAAAUGGGGGUCAUUCUACACUUUUAAAAUAGGGGUUUGUGUGAAAACGCAAGCCCCCCUCCCGGAUCGGUUUGAUCCCAAAGGGUUGCCCACGCGGUGGUGCACAAAAGGGUGAGAUGGAUUGAGAGCACUCAGGCGUGCACGACCAAAAAGGUCAGCGACAACCUGAGCACCUCUGUGGUACGAUAAUGAUCCUUCCGCAGGUUCACCUACGGAAA